rnacentral:rRNA from 1 species
CCUACGGGAGGCAGCAGUGAGGAAUAUUGGUCAAUGGGCGUAAGCCUGAACCAGCCAAGUCGCGUGAGGGAUGAAGGUUCUAUGGAUCGUAAACCUCUUUUAUAAGGGAAUAAAGUGUGGGACGUGUCCUGUUUUGUAUGUACCUUAUGAAUAAGGAUCGGCUAACUCCGUGCCAGCAGCCGCGGUAAUACGGAGGAUCCGAGCGUUAACCGGAUUUAUUGGGUUUAAAGGGUGCGUAGGCGGCCUUUUAAGUCAGCGGGGAAAGUCUGUGGCUCAACCAUAGAAUUGCCGUUGAAACUGGGAGGCUUGAGUAUGUUUGAGGCAGGCGGAAUGCGUGGUGUAGCGGUGAAAUGCUUAGAUAUGACGAAGAACCCCGAUUGCGAAGGCAGCUUGCUGCAGCGGAACUGACGCUGAUGCUCGAAAGCGCGGGGAUCGAACAGGAUUAGAUACCCUGGUAGUC